rnacentral:rRNA from 1 species
AUACGGAGGAUCCGAGCGUUAUCCGGAUUUAUUGGGUUUAAAGGGUGCGCAGGCGGCCAUUUAAGUCAGCGGUUAAAUCGUGGGGCUCAACCCCAUUCUGCCGUUGAUACUGGGUGGCUUGAUUGCGGUCGAGGUUGGCGGAAUUCGUUGUGUAGCGGUGAAAUGCAUUGAUAUGACGAAGAACACCGAUUGCGUAGGCAGCUGACCAGACCGCAAAUGACGCUCAUGCACGAAAGUGCGGGGAUCGAACAGGAUUAGAUACCCUGGUAGUCCGCACAGUAAACGAUGAAUACUUGUUUUCGGCGAUAUAAUGUCGGAGGCAAAGCGAAAGCGAUAAGUAUUCCACCUGGGGAGUACGCCGGCAACGGUGAAACUCAAAUGAAUUGACGGG